UCACAGGAAUCAGAUUUAUAUACUGCCACUAUUCCAGCGACAGCAAAGCAGGACUGAGGGGAAUGUUUUAAUGGAAGACAGCACGAUCUCUCCCACUGUCUGGCUCUGAGCUUCUCCUAGGUCCUAUUAGAGCAAACAUACUAUGUGAAGAGGCCAGAUAAAAAGGUCGGUCUUCAGACACAUAAUGAGGAAGCUCUCCCCCGGAGAGAGAGAGCGCCAGCAGACCCAUCUUACGUGAGAGAGGCUGGUCAGCUCCCUCGCUCUACCUGUGCUGACUAAUCAAAGAGUCCAUGACUCAGAGCUUGUGCUUUCAUUCAAACUCACUUUCUUGCUCUUGCAUCUCAUCUGUAGGAAUAGCUGCAUAAACAGAUGAUGAAUCUGUCACUUCCUCCAUACAGAAAAAAUUGCUACCCUAAAGUUCAAAUUUCUGCACUAAAAAAAAAUGAAAAGGAUGUUUUUAGAAUAAAUUGUGCUUGUUACUUAUUAUAACUAGCAUUUAAAACCAUGCACUAAUUAAAAUUCAUGACUGCACAAAUUUCUGUUGUAGACUGAGUAGUCUAAUAACUUUGGCUUAAAUAAAUAUGGCUUAUGGCUUAACAUCAGCUGCGCCCCUUUUGAUAAAUGUCAGGACAGUGUGCAAUUUUAUCCCAGUAAAAAUGGGUGAGGGUAUUGUGCAACAGCCCUUCCUUGCACAUGGUGUGAGACUGCAGUGCCAGCUUCGGCACCCCCUUGUGGUGGCAAGGUAGACAAGCAGCAGAACGCCGAACUAGAAAGCGUUGAUAACAGGCCUAUGUCCUCACAAAGUGGGGAAUUCCACGGACCACAACCUGAUUGGUGCUUACAAUGGAUGAGAGAUGCUUGGAAAUUCAUUUGUCUGCUGAGCAUAAGACUAUAAGUGCUGUAGGAUGUGGAGGGCGUUGCAGAACUGCUUCCUUUCAGUACCACUCAAACAUCAAAGAUCACUUAGCAGUGAUGCCUGGGAGCUCAAAUCAAACAGCAUCUGUGACGGAGUUGGUUGAGGAUGAGUAGCUGACCUACACAGGUGGGGAAAAGUCCAGAUAUGUACUAAUGAUACUAAUUAAAUUUUUUUUUAUUGAUUAAUUUUGUCUAAAAAACAUCUAAUUUGAAUGUAAUGAGUAAACUAAAAGCCUUAAAGUAUUUACUGUAUGCGCUCCGUUGAACCUUACAGCAGAGCAAUCUGUGCAAGUGAGACUGACCCCUGCUGGCGAAAGAUGGGACAAACUCUGGUCGAGGUUAUAGUCUCAGAAAGGCCUGGAUUUGCACAGCCUCUCAUAGAAGUUGAUACUACAUUUUAGUUCAUACUAUCCCUGCUAAUAAGGUUUAAUUCAAUAUGGCUGCACACUUUAAGAUGUUAUAGCAUAGUUACAAAACGUACAGGGUAUGGCUUCUCAGCUGUAUUCUACAGCUCUGUCGCUUGGUUGAGACACUGUGCAGCAAAUAGCAGAAAAAUAGGUUUUGUAUUCAAGUGGGACUCAGUUCAAACGCCACAGUCUGUCUGAUCUUGUAUCCUGAGCAGAUCCACGUUCAUUUGGUCCAUGGAUUUUCAUGGGUGUUUUGAAGGAUCUUAUUUCAGACUUAUUUAUGGAACAAAAAAGGCAGGUGUACUACAAAGAUAAAUGAUACGAGGGAAGUGACAAGGCUUGGGAUAAGCAGCAGGGGCCAGUUUGCCGCAGUGUGUAGUCACACGACUCCUGAAGGGUAGCACGCACCGAGGGGGAUAACUUCGCUACAGUUUCGAUCUCUUACUGUACAUGCCCCUCCUGUCCAGCUUCUUGUGUCGCUUUCUGACCCUGCACUGUUGGUCCAUCUCACACUGUACUGCUUUCCUGUUUCUCCACACACUGUUUCCCACCACUUUUAAUUCCACCGCCAUCCGUCUUACCUUGUCUGCUGAGUCCCCUGUCCUCGCAUCUCUGCUUUGCGCACGUUGGCUCCCUCCCCUCAUUUCCUGUCAGUCUUCUCCUCACCUCCUUCGCCUACCAUCUCUUCAUGUCCCAAGUUAGUCUCUCUCUCUCUCACCCAGUUCCACCACGAUGAAAGAAAAGUCGACAUGCGGCACCUAUGGGUACCGGGUUGUCCGGAGUCUAUCCCAGAGGUUACGGGUGCAAGGCAUGGAACAACCCAGGAUGGACGCCAGCCCAUUGCCAGCUACUCUUCACCAAAGCCCUCUAGCACGAAAUGUAAAAAUACUCAAUUGAACCAUACCUGCAAUUAGAAGGUACAUUCAUGAAUAUGUAGGAGUGUAAUUGUGUUUUCAUCUACCCAUAUUUUACUGCAACUGCUGCGUUACUGGGAGAAGAGACAACUGUGGAGUUUAGGAGUCGCAGAGGCAAGACAACAAGGAGAGCAGGUUUCAGAACAACGCCGCUUCCUUCCCUCGCAGGUCGAAUCCUUUGCUUUUCAUUUCUGUAACUAGAUGCUCACAACACAGAGCUCCACUUAAGAAAGCUACUUCACAGACUUCAGAGAGCCUGCCCUGCUCGUGAGGCAAACAGUGAGUCAGAGGGAUGGAUGAAGGUGUGUUUGGAACUGGGGAGUCCUCUAAUGACUCCCACGCAGCCAUUGUUUUCCUACAUUUUCUGCAUCCCUCCUUCAUCUUGGAAGGCAACACCAAUCAUUGGCACACCAAAGAGGCCGUCUUCUUGACAACGGAAUACUCUUCAGAGUGGCAGACUGAAGCUCACUCUCCUGUUCCCCGAUGUGACAUCAUAGGCCCAAUGGAAAAGUCAGGGGUUUAAAAAGACUGGAGCCUACCACAAGUGAACAAUAUCACAGCCUGGCCAUAGACUUUCUACUGUGAAUUAGGCCUGAGGAAGAGGAGAAAUAACCUAGACUGCAGGCUUCAAAUGAACUAUGCCUAGGAGGGACUUAUGCAUGAUCUCCUUGGAGUGUUUCUUGGUACUAUGAAGCCACUGUCUGCAGGUGCCUUCAAACUAAAUGAUCUAAGGGCCCUGUUUGUAGAGUGAGCUGGCCAUUUCUAGCAGGCCAACAGACACAAAGGGGUCUUCCUUUCAGUGUCCCCAGGUUAGAAACAAUUUGUUUAAUAACAAAUUAAGUAAUAAUGUAAAAAAAAAAAUAAUUAAAACACUUCCAGGAAAUCCCAUCAUAGUUCCUCACUGAAACAUUUAUCACCAUUACAGAAUGUACCCAGUAGGGUGUUUUUCAUCCCAAAUUCCCUCCUGGUUAACCACAUAACCUCUGGUUAGUAGUUCACCCAGUUAGUUCCAUUAGUGACAUCAGGAUUAGGGUGUCUGUUUAGCAGUUAUUGACUAAAGGUUUUUAAACAAAGGAGAAAGUUGGUAAAGUCAGGAGAAAAAAAAAUCCUCUCAGUAAAUCAGGCAACCCAGUUGUUGUCCUGAAAAGAGUAGCUCUAUUUCCUAGCAAAUUCAGCUUAAAAAUCUUAAUCAUGCGGCAGGAUUACUCACCGUAGCCAUAUUGUGUACAUUAAUGCUGUCAAAAUCCACGGUCUUAGUGUUUAAGAUCCUCUAACAGAUAUGAAUGUUGGGUACAUGAGCAGGAAACAGAUAUUCCUGUUUCAUAAGAGCCGAGAAGCUCAGCGGUAUCAGAGAGAGAUGGUUACGGGAUGGAGAUUCCCUGGCAGCCACUAAACCCUUCAUUUUCAUCAGGACAAUAGGGCUCCUCGCCUCUCAUUCCACAGCCAAUCCCCAAUACUCUGAUAAGCAGGCUAUGUCCCGUCAUCUCUCCAUCCUAAUUUGUGAAAGAUAAAUCAUAAUCGAACAACUUCAGUAAUAAUAUAUACUGUUUGCACAUGGCGCUGUGUGUCCUUAAAGGACUGACUGUCCUUAAAGCUUAAACAUGCCGCGACUUUGAAUCCCAAAACAAUGAUGCACGUGCAAAGAUGGCGCGCGGCACAAGUGCAUCAUGCUGAGCUGCAGCCAUGUUUUAAACUGCCGGGACUUUUGAAGAAAAACAGCAGAACAAGAGGAACAGGCUUCUCCUUGCAGUGAAAAGGUCAGCCUGCAGGCGUGUGAAGGAGCUCUGAUUGGCCAGGGAUGAAGACGCCUCGCUUCCAUUCAAGGUUCCCUUCUGUAAUUAUGCGAAGGAUCAUUAUCCAGGUACCCAGUAAACUUGAAUGACAUGCCCACAUACUCAUAGCCUCCACGUGGCUAUGCUCCUCACCAUCUUAUGGAAUUACUUCAGCCCUACUCUCCCAUUUGCAGGCUUAGAUCUUCAUCUUCUGUUUUGUUGUUGGUCCCAAGGUUUAAACUUACCACCAUGGGUUCUCAGGCAUUUAGGGGUUGCAGUCCCCAAGCUGACCCCUACUCAAGUCCCUUUUUCUCACUCUACUAGCCCACCUUUCCUGAUCACUGACUGUUGUGCAUAAUUUUUUUUUUACCAUGGUUUGAGUUCAUCUGCUGUUCUUGCCCAUGUUAUUUGUGAUUAUGCUUUUUCCAUUAUUAUAUUUGUAAGAAUUACCCUUUUGUUUGUUUUUAUCAUCCCUCUACAAAGCGUCCGCGAGUUGGUGAAAGGCGUUAUAUAAAUUAAAUUUCCUUGUUAUUGAUCUAAGAACAGUCUGCUAUCUCUGAAGACACUUGAGCUAAGUGUGAAGACCAUUAUCACCAUUAGAUGCAUUACUCGCGCUU